GGGCCUGUUACAUUUAAUAUUUUAGGCCUUCCCAUGAGACAGGAAGAAAAGUCAUGCCCUUAUUAUUUGCGCACUGGAUCGUGUAAAUUUGGAGUUUCGUGCAAGUUCAAUCAUCCCCAGCCAUCACCAGUUGGAAAUAUGCUACCUCAAGCUAGGCCCGGUGCUUUGGGUUCUGGAGGCACUCCGUUCAUGCCUUCAUCUGGUGUGCCAUAUACUGGUGGAAUUCCUGCUUGGUCAUUGCCUAGAGUACAAUAUAUGCCUGGUCCAUGCGUACAAGGCCAACAAUCUUAUGUGCCUGUCUUGGUUUCUCCAUCACAGGGUGCCAUAGCUGCUCAAGACUGGAACACUUACGUGGGCAAUGUCAGUCCCAUUCUUCCCAAUCUUGGUUACAAUUCUGUCAAUUUGGAAGAGUCGUAUUCUAAUGGGCAGUUGGCCUUAUCAACAUCAACUCCAACGCUACCCGAUCGACCUGAUCAACCAGAAUGCCGUUAUUUUAUGAACAACGGCACCUGCAAGUAUGGAUCUGAUUGCAAAUUCCAUCAUCCAAAACAAAGAAUUGCACAAUCAGCAACUAAUGCGCUUGGACUUCCUUCAAGACCCGG
rnacentral:misc_RNA from 1 species